rnacentral:tRNA from 1 species
GCGGGUAUAGCUCAGAGGUAGAGCACAUGCCUAGCAUGCAUGAGGUCUUAGGCUCACUCUCCUGCACCCCCA